CGAGCAACAACAAUGACGGAUCAACGAGAAUUUCAUAACCGAUGCUAGUUCUUUUCCUUUCUCCUCCGGAUAUCCCUUUCACCAAUCCUCCCCCGAUUCUCGUGUGACGACAUCUGCGGUUAUCACAACGGUUAGAGUGAAAGGCUCAUGUCACUAGGAAGUCUCAGAAAUGCUGAAAAAACUAAGGUUUCUUCGACCGUUAGUUGAGGCAGCAGUAUAUCGUCCUGCGUCACAAAUCCAAUCCUGCAAGGAAAACAGAACACUCGAAAUCGAUGAAUGACGGAAAAAAGAAAAAAGCGCCGAUAAAAACCGGCCUAACCUUCGUUUAAGAGCCGGACUAAGGACCCAUCAAAGCAAGGAUUUCUCCUGGGCCGGUGCUGCCCGUUACGCCUUUAAGGAUCUCCUUGUAUUUAUCAUGUUCCAAGUUAAGUUGCGAGGCUAACUUCGACAUCACCGCUCUCACGGGGAUGAUCGAGGCAGAUAUAUCUCCUUAUAACUUGACCGAUCACAUAGCCCUGUUCUGGCGAC